AAACUCUUCGUAGAUUGGCUCAGAAUUGUGAGGCUGCUAGGAAGAGUCGAUUGAGGAAGAAGCAAUUGGAGAAUAGUAGAGUUAGGCUUGCACAAU